ACCCUAAAUCUCCUGGCACAUGCUCUUGAAGAUGUCCCUAGUCAGGAAGCCGCUGUGCCCAGCUGUUCCAGCUCACAGCUAAGGGAAACACCUACACCUGACGAAAGAAAAACCAUGGAAGAGCCUAUGAUCCCGACUACGGAUACUUCCAGGCAUGUCCCCACAAAAGGAAGAUCAGAGCGGGUGACCUCAUCCAACUUCAGUAUGAGGUCUUGGUUGAGCAGAAAAAGAAAAUUAUGCAGCAGACAACCUACUAUGAACUCAUGAACAAGAAGCUCAGACUGGAGCUGGAUCACAUGACGAGCGAUAACUGAAAAGACAAGUCCAUGUUUGAAAUAUUAAAACAGUUCCUUCAACAGUUA